AUUGAACGCUGGCGGCAGGCCUAACACAUGCAAGUCGAGCGGCAGCGGGAAAGUAGCUUGCUACUUUUGCCGGCGAGCGGCGGACGGGUGAGUAAUGCCUGGGGAUCUGCCCAGUCGAGGGGGAUAACAGUUGGAAACGACUGCUAAUACCGCAUACGCCCUACGGGGGAAAGGAGGGGACCGUCGGGCCUUUCGCGAUGGGAUGAAACCAGGUGGGAUUAGCUAGUUGGUGGGGUAAUGGCUCACCAAGGCGACGAUCCCUAGCUGGUCUGAGAGGAUGAUCAGCCACACUGGAACUGAGACACGGUCCAGACUCCUACGGGAGGCAGCAGUGGGGAAUAUUGCACAAUGGGGGAAACCCUGAUGCAGCCAUGCCGCGUGUGUGAAGAAGGCCUUCGGGUUGUAAAGCACUUUCAGCGAGGAGGAAAGGUUGUUGGCUAAUAUCCAGCAACUGUGACGUUACUCGCAGAAGAAGCACCGGCUAACUCCGUGCCAGCCGCCGCGGUAA
rnacentral:rRNA from 1 species